UGAACCUUAUCAUUUAGAGGAAGGAGAAGUCGUAACAAGGUUUCYGUAGGUGAACCURCGGAAGGAUCAUUGUCACU
rnacentral:rRNA from 1 species